GAAUUUUACUCUAUUCCCCUGCCACCUGUUGAUGUGCUAAGCUGACAGACAGUAGAGUUGUUGCAUGCCCUUCUUUCUCUACGCAAAAGAGAGAGCUUAUUUGCCUCGCAAAAAGAGGGGGAGAGAAUUGGGUCUACUUCGUUGAGGAGAGACACAGUACAACUCACUUCGAUUUAAGAGGUAUUUUGAUUGAUUUCUCAGGUUUGAGCCUUUAUGCAGCUGUAAUUUUUUGUUUGAUGUUUUAAGAUUUGGGCUUCUGGAGGAUACGCCAUCAAACAGAUGGUGCUGGGAGUCGGAAUGAAAGUGAUCGGAAAGGGCUAGGUUCUCCAGUGAGGAGCCACUAGCAAUCUACUCCAGAAGCAAGGUAAUUCUCUUUGAUACCUGCUCUUUCUGCAAUGUACAACGGGACUACCAAUUGAGACAAGCACUACCGUUUUUACCCCUCUGUUUUCUGGACUUCUGCAUUGUUGCCCCCGAUAGGUGUCGCAGCCUGCAACUGUUGCAUGUUUUGAUUACAUCUACGUGUUUGCUCUGGAAAAUGGACAUCUGCUUCUUUGUUCUACGAGAGAGAGAGAGAGAGAGAGAGAGAGAGAGAGAGAGAGAGAGAGAGAGAGAGAGAGAGAGAGAGAGAGAGAGAGAGGGGUGGAGAAAGGGAAUGGGUUCUGCUUCCGCAUCUAGGCCGAUUGAGGGUUAAGGGACUCAUCCAAUUCGCCAUAGCAUCAUGUUAUCAAAAUGAACAUGAACUAAGAAUCAGCGAAUAUGGAAGAGGAGGGAUUUACUUGAUGUCCUGCAAACAUUGGUGUUACGCCAAUUUGCAGAGAAGAGUGUGCAGGCUUGCGAUCGCGGUUGAGGUCCAAAGACCAAGUCUCCUGCAGGUGUUUAGAGAGGUACAGGUAGGAACAUUCCAACAAAAAAUUGGACGCUGCUGUUGGCAAAACUGGUGGUGAGAAAUGACAAUCGUUGUCUGAUGUUGUAAAAAUUAUGUAGGAGAAAGAACCCUACUAGGCGAAGGCAGAGAAGAGGAAGGUUGAAUACAACGAGAACAUGGAUGUGUACGACAAGAAACAAGCAAGUGUUUCUGUUUUAAUUGUUAAUCUCCAGCAAAUCUGAUAUAACUCCCCUAGGUCCACUCCUUGACAAGACUGAACUUUAUUUCACCAAGAAUCAAUGACAAGAUGGACCUAUUUGAAGAGAAGCAACCUGUUGGUUAGAUGAUAGCAACAAUUGUGCAUUCAACC